UAGCCGUAAACGAUACUCGCUAGGUGUCGGCCACGGUGCGACCGUUGUCGGUGCCGUAGGGAAGCCGUGAAGCGAGCCACCUGGGAAGUACGGCCGCAAGGCUGAAACUUAAAGGAAUUGGCGGGGGAGCACAACAACGGGUGGAGCUUGCGGUUUAAUUGGAUUUCAACGCCGGAAAUCUUACCGGGACCGACAGCAGUAUGUAGGUCAAGCUAAAGACUUUACCAGAAUCACUGAGAGGAGGUGCAUGGCGUAGUCGUGU
rnacentral:rRNA from 1 species